rnacentral:rRNA from 1 species
UGGCCCAGAUCGUUUACCGUGAAAAAAUUAGAGUGUUCAAAGCAGGCAGAUCCAAUUUUCUGCCACCGAAUACAUUAGCAUGGGAUAAUGGAAUAGGACCCUGUCCUCCUAUUUUCAGUUGGUUUUGGCAGCGCGAGGACUAGGGUAAUGAUUAAUAGGGAUAGUUGGGGGCAUUAAUAUUUAAUUGUCAGAGGUGAAAUUCUUGGAUUUAUGAAAGAUUAACUUCUGCGAAAGCAUCUGCCAAGGAUGUUUUCAUUAAUCAAGAACGAAAGUUAGGGGAUCGAAGACGAUCAGAUACCGUCGUAGUCUUAACCAUAAACGAUGCCGACCAGCGAUUAGGAGACGUUGAAUMCAAAACACCACCAUCGGUUGCGGUCGUCCUUGGCGUCUCGGUUUCSSCCGGGGCGCGGGGAUGGCUASCMCCGUWMCCSGYUC